UACCAGCACCCCGAGUGGUCGGGACGAUUAUUGGGCCUAAAGCAUCCGUAGCCGGUUUUACAAGUCCCCCGUUAAAUCCAGCUGCUUAACAGAUGGGCUGCGGAGGAUACUACAAGACUAGGAGGCAGGAGAGGCAAGCGGUACUCAGUGGGUAGGGGUAAAAUCCGUUGAUCCAUUGAAGACCACCAGUGGCGAAGGCGGCUUGCCAGAACGCGCUCGACGGUGAGGGAUGAAAGCUGGGGGAGCAAACCGG
rnacentral:rRNA from 1 species